rnacentral:rRNA from 1 species
CGAUGAACCUGGAGCUUGCUCUGGGGGAUUAGUGGCGAACGGGUGAGUAACACGUGAGCAACCUGCCCCUGACUCUGGGAUAAGCGCUGGAAACGGCGUCUAAUACUGGAUACGAACAAGAAUCGCAUGGUUACUUGUUGGAAAGAUUUUUUGGUUGGGGAUGGGCUCGCGGCCUAUCAGCUUGUUGGUGAGGUAAUGGCUCACCAAGGCGUCGACGGGUAGCCGGCCUGAGAGGGUGACCGGCCACACUGGGACUGAGACACGGCCCAGACUCCUACGGGAGGCAGCAGUGGGGAAUAUUGCACAAUGGGCGGAAGCCUGAUGCAGCAACGCCGCGUGAGGGAUGACGGCCUUCGGGUUGUAAACCUCUUUUAGCAGGGAAGAAGCGAAAGUGACGGUACCUGCAGAAAAAGCGCCGGCUAACUACGUGCCAGCAGCCGCGGUAAUACGUAGGGCGCAAGCGUUAUCCGGAAUUAUUGGGCGUAAAGAGCUCGUAGGCGGUUUGUCGCGUCUGCUGUGAAAUCCCGAGGCUCAACCUCGGGCCUGCAGUGGGUACGGGCAGACUAGAGUGCGGUAGGGGAGAUUGGAAUUCCUGGUGUAGCGGUGGAAUGCGCAGAUAUCAGGAGGAACACCGAUGGCGAAGGCAGAUCUCUGGGCCGUAACUGACGCUGAGGAGCGAAAGGGUGGGGAGCAAACAGGCUUAGAUACCCUGGUAGUCCACCCCGUAAACGUUGGGAACUAGUUGUGGGGUCCAUUCCACGGAUUCCGUGACGCAGCUAACGCAUUAAGUUCCCCGCCUGGGGAGUACGGCCGCAAGGCUAAAACUCAAAGGAAUUGACGGGGACCCGCACAAGCGGCGGAGCAUGCGGAUUAAUUCGAUGCAACGCGAAGAACCUUACCAAGGCUUGACAUAUACGAGAACGGGCCAGAAAUGGUCAACUCUUUGGACACUCGUAAACAGGUGGUGCAUGGUUGUCGUCAGCUCGUGUCGUGAGAUGUUGGGUUAAGUCCCGCAACGAGCGCAACCCUCGUUCUAUGUUGCCAGCACGUAAUGGUGGGAACUCAUGGGAUACUGCCGGGGUCAACUCGGAGGAAGGUGGGGAUGACGUCAAAUCAUCAUGCCCCUUAUGUCUUGGGCUUCACGCAUGCUACAAUGGCCGGUACAAUGGGCAGCGAUACCGUGAGGUGGAGCGAAUCCCAAAAAGCCGGUCCCAGUUCGGAUUGAGGUCUGCAACUCGACCUCAUGAAGUCGGAGUCGCUAGUAAUCGCAGAUCAGCAACGCUGCGGUGAAUACGUUCCCGGGUCUUGUACACACCGCCCGUCAAGUCAUGAAAGUCGGUAACACCUGAAGCCGGUGGCCUAACCC